UACGAACUGUGCGAACGUUAUUCGGAAUCACUGGGCUUACAGGGUGCGUAGGCGGCUCAACAAGUCAGGUGUGAAAGCCCCCGGCUCAACCGGGGAACUGCGCUUGAAACUGUUAGGCUCGAGUCAGCUAGAGGUACACGGAACUUCCAGUGGAGCGGUGAAAUGUGUUGAUAUUGGAAGGAACACCGGAGGCGAAAGCGGUGUACUGGGGCUGGUCUGACGCUGAGGCACGAAAGCCAGGGGAGCAAACGGG
rnacentral:rRNA from 1 species